rnacentral:rRNA from 1 species
UUUGGCCUACGGGGCGCAGCAGUGGGGGAUAUUGCACAAUGGGGGAAACCCUGAUGCAGCAACGCCGCGUGAGUGAAGAAGGUCUUCGGAUUGUAAAGCUCUGUUCUUGGUGAAGAUAAUGACGGUAGCCAAGGAGAAAGCUCCGGCUAACUACGUGCCAGCAGCCGUGGCAAUACGUAGGUGGCGAGCGUUAUCCGGAAUGAUUGGGCGUAAAGGGUGCGUAGGCGGCCUGCUAAGUCUGGAGUGAAAGGUACCGGCUCAACCGGUACAGGCUCUGGAAACUGGCGGGCU